CUGUCCCUGCUGUGCGCGUGAUGCCGCACCCCGGUUUUGAGCCAACACUUGACAUCAGGAAGUCAAACUCACUGAGGGAAUGCGAUAGGCUCUCGUGGCCAAGGCAGACCCGAAGGGGCGACUUCCGGCCUGCGAAAGCAGGUUCAAAACUCCGCGACACACGGCAUAGUGGGGCUUAA
rnacentral:other from 1 species